rnacentral:rRNA from 1 species
GACGAACCGUGCGAACGUUGUUCGGAAUCACUGGGCUUAAAGGGCGCGUAGGCGGACUGCCAAGUCCGGGGUGAAAUCCUCCGGCUUAACCGGAGAAUUGCCUGGGAUACUGGCGGUCUUGAGGGAGGUAGGGGCACGCGGAACUUCCGGUGGAGCGGUGAAAUGCGUUGAUAUCGGAAGGAACGCCGGUGGCGAAAGCGGCGUGCUGGCCCUCUUCUGACGCUGAGGCGCGGAAAGCCAGGGGAGCGAACGGGG